rnacentral:lncRNA from 1 species
AAUAAUAAUAAUAAUAAUAAUAAUAAAUUAAAAAAAUAAAUACGUGCAUAAUGAAGUUGUUAUGCUUUUCUCUGGGUAACCUGCCUUGUUAGAGCCGUGUUGUCUGUGAUCCUUAUGAUGGGGAAAAAGGGAUCACACUUUUCCAUCCCUACCGUUUCUGCCACCAACCCUGGGGUGCCUGAGACACCUGACUCCACCGCAGAGCCUGCAGACGCCAUGCUGGGACAAUUGACAGAAUGCCGGCAAGGAAAAUCUAAGACUCUUUAAAAGUUUUUUUAACCAAGGCCAGCUCUCCCAGAUCUCUGCUUGCAGUGCCCGGUUGAGAAUGGAAGGUAAAAUUUUCUCUUUAUUCCUUCCUUCGCAAAUUCAGAUUAGCAGGAGAAAAUUAUUUGUAUGAACUAGUUUUUGGGGAUUGUGACUCUGGUGAUUUUUUCUUGGCAUGAGAACUCUUGUUUUAUGAUCCCUUCCCUCUCAGAGAUGGUCUUUGUUUUACAGAAACACCAAGAAGAGAGCCUAACAGAAACGCGGGUGGGACCCCGUAUGCAGCUAGCGUGCCAGCUGCUGCCGGCUCUGGGAGUUACCUGUCCCUCUUCUUCUGGCUGUCUUUGGGAGGGCUGUGUCUUUGCGCUUCUUUAGAGAGACUCCACGCAUCCUUGGUUAAGUCAUAAAAGGCUUAUUGGUUUCGAUUCCAAGUCACUUGGUAGAUACCUUUGGUUUUCUUUCUUUUUUAAAAAGGCGGAAAAGUACAAUACUGCCAGGAAUAUUUGCUGUUUGUCCUGGCUAAAAUCUGAUAGUGCAAUAUUUCAAAGGAUUUUUUUUUUUUUUUUUUGGAGACGGAGUUUCACUCUUUUUGCCCAGGCUGGAGUGCAAUGGUGAGAUUGCAGCUCACUGCAACCUCUGCCUCCCAGGUUCAAGCAAUUCUCCUGCCUCAGUCUCCCUAGUAGGAUGGAUUACAGGUGUGCGCCACCACACCUGGCUAUUUUUAGUACAGACAGGGUUUCACCAUGUUGGCCAGGCUGGUCUCGAACUCCUGACCUCAAGUGAUCCACCCACCUCAGCCUCCCAAAGUGCUGGGAUUAUAGGAGUCAGCCACUGCACCCGGCUAGGUUUUUUUUGUUUUUUUUUUUUGUUUGUUUUUUUUAAGUGCUCUAUGGUCAGAAGUCGGCUUGACUGGAAGAUGAUAUUGACGCUGUGCUUUUUUUCAGGCCUCUCUGCUCUUGUUCUCUCUUUGGGAUCCUGCUUCUCCCAUGGGAACUUCUCAGUUGACUGAGAAUCUCUUUUCGAACCACUGAUAAUUACAUCUCGGGCCCUCAGCCGCUUCCUUUCUUCUUGGUGUGAUUUUUCCUAAGGAUAAUAUAGAACUUCAUUAGUCUUUUCGGGAAAUGUGAGAUCGCCCCAAAUUGGCUCCUGGAAGACCUCUUCUUUCCUUUGCUUCCGCUCUUCCUCCCUUUGUCCACUUUGAGCUUCUAUGCAGCUCCCUUGUACCUUUAAAUACGUUCCACUUUGAGCCCCCACCUCCACCUGGUGGUCAGUGGAUAGAAAAUUGCUGAAAGGAAACAUCGGAGGUAAAAAGAAAUGCCUCUUCUUAAAUGCUUGAUUGCUGUAACCACAUAGAGGUGGAAGCCCAUCUGCAAAACCACCUCCUAAAAUGAGACACAGCUGUUAAGUGUUUAACUGAACUGAACUAUUUGUGGAACUGAGAGACUGGUUCAGUGGCCUGUGGGACAAUCCACCAACCCCAUUUCUGGACUUUUCCCAAGAAGUUUCAGACAGGGGAAUACUGGGGCUCAGAAAAUGAUGCUUCUAAAUCUGGUGCCUUGGCAUGCUGAGUACCUUGAACUAAAGGAGAUUGUGAAAGCCUCAGAAGCAAAGUUGCUCUAAGACCUUCUUCCAUCUUCCUGUCUCCUAUCCCUCAUUCUCCCCUGAAACAAGUCAUGGAAACCAGAAUUCCUCUUCCCUAAGGCAGAUCAUAGAAAUUCAAACUCCUCUCUCCUAGAGCGAGCCAUAAAGCCUAGGAGGCCACGCUUUCCCUUCUCUCUCUUCCCUCCUCCCUGGAGGACCCUCAUUCCAGAGGUGCUGCCCCAUACCCAGGAGGAAGGACUGCUACAGAGAGGCCAAGAAGCAUCUGAACAGACAAGCCUUGCUGGGUUUCUGCUGUCAGUCUAUUACAAUUCGAUCACUCUUCUGUCCAAUCGCAUUUUUACAUGGCUGUCCAUUCUUCAUUGAACAGAGGCAUAAAAACAGUUUUCCUUGGGUCUUUGGGUCUUCGUUUCUGAAAGCUCCUGUAUCACAUAAAAUUUUGAUUAAAUUAAUCUGUUAAGCUCUAAAAAAAAAAAAAAAAAGAAAAAGAAAGAAAGAGAGGGAGAGAGAGAGGGAAGGAGG